UACGUAGGGUGCGAGCGUUGUCCGGAAUUAUUGGGCGUCAAGAGCUCGUAGGCGGUUUGUCGCGUCGACUGUGAAAACCUACAGCUUAACUGUGGGCUUGCAGUCGAUACGGGCAGACUUGAGUUCGGUAGGGGAGACUGGAAUUCCUGGUGUAGCGGUGAAAUGCGCAGAUAUCAGGAGGAACACCGGUGGCGAAGGCGGGUCUCUGGGCCGAUACUGACGCUGAGGAGCGAAAGCGUGGGGAGCGAACAGG
rnacentral:rRNA from 1 species